GAUGUAAUAGGCUAUGUAUUUGGAAAAAAAUAUAUUAACAGCAUUUUUAUUUAGCCUACACAAAACAAAAAUGUUUAGGCAUCUAAGUGAAAUCAUGUGAAAUCAUUCUAAAUGCUAUUUCAGAUUCAGACAAGGGUGCUGGAGACACUUCAGAUCCUUACAGAGACAUCUCCCAAUCAAGGGCAGCAGAUCCAACUCAACCUGUGAUGAGGAUGUUUCCCAAGACCACACAAGGUCAGAAAAGAAGGGCAUUCAACCCGCAGUGAAAUUUGAUGUAAGAGUACGGCCUUUGUCCUUCAAUUUAUGAGUAUGGUGUUCGAUGCAUGAUUUUAUGAUGCCACCCUUGAAUUAAUCAGUGCUCCACUAAGGCCACCCCUGUUAAAAAAGUCUAGAAUCGCCACUGCAUGUAGUAUAGCAGUCUUAAAUGCAAUAACUAAAAUAAUUUAUUUCCUUUUAUUUGUUUUACCUGUGUUAUUUUUCACUUUCUUUUCUUCAUGUUUUCCUUGCCAUUCACUCUAUAACAUUCUAGUAGAGCUCCUGGGAUGCAAACAUAUUUUCUUCAUUCAUGCAUAAACCUAAUUGUAGCUAUGUUCAAUUAUAUUAAAGGCAUCAUGAUUUUGAUGUUUAAAUGCUGA